GUAUGAUCCGUAACUCAUAGACACAUGAGUAGCGAUGGAUACUAUUUGGUAUGAACAACAUCAUCAUCUUGCAAUUCUAACAUGUAUUCAUUAACUUAUUUAUCCACAUAAUAGUGAUGCAUCUUACGUUUCUGUCUAUUGUAUCUGAAUCUAAAAUGCAAUUAACUCCUUAAUUUGCCUUCAGCAGGAUUGAGCGAUCUGGCAUGUAAGCUUAGCUCGGUGGUUCAGAUUAUCACUGUUAGUCUUCUGGUCGUGGCAAUUUUUAGACCUCUUGAGGUAGCUCAACGAAUCUGGUGUGAAGCUAUGAAGGGAUUUUUCUUGAAAACAAUACUGAAAGGAUACCUUAACUUCAUUUUAUCCCCUAGAUUAGUAUACGUAUAUUCAGUCCCCAUUUAUUUUAGAUGUAUAGCUUGCAUGACAGUUUUGUUUAAACAGAUUUUUGGGGCAUUUUGCAAUUCUCACAUAUGUUGUUAUCCAUGCACUUACUUUUAUCAUUUCCAGUGUCAAUGCUUACAAAAUUGUUAAAUCUUUUUUUAUUGGAGUUCAGCCAUGUUUUUCACCAAGGAUUCAACUUGCAAGCAUCUGAAUCUUAUGUUGUCC
rnacentral:lncRNA from 1 species